AUUCUUCUGAGCAUUCUUAAAUUUUACUCUACAAAGAAGUAUCAUGUUGACAAUUUGGACGUUAUUAGUUCCUGAAUAAAUUAAUUUUUGAACUUGUUUUAUUGAAUUCUUAUAUCAUUGUCAUCAUCCUCAUAUUUAUAUUUUGUUGAAAGUCAUUUGUGGCCUGUAGUGCAUAGAUGGACUUGGUAUGAUUAUGACCAGGGAUUAUUCGGUGUAAUCAUGACCGUAAU
rnacentral:lncRNA from 1 species